UUAUUUGUUGUUGUUGUUGUACCAGGGAUGGAACUCAGGACGUUGCGCUUGGGAGGCAGGCGCAGUGUCCCUAGGCUAACUCCCUGGGCGCUGGAAUCAGUACUAACUAAUUAGCAUCUUUCUCCUCCAAGAGGAAGGCUAUAAGUGGCAGAGGACCUCCCACCUUAACCUUAUGGCACUAUUGCCGUUCUGAAAACGGGGGUCCAAGGAGUUAUAAGGAUUUCUUGCUGUCUCUGGCCCACCUAGAAUGAUUGGGCAUAUGCAGGCAAAAAGGAAAAUACGGCCUUCCUAGAAAGGCAGUCAAUGACCACCUCAGCCUGCGCGAGCCUGGGCGAGGGGCUGUGGCUGGAAGAGAAAGUUAAAUGAGCGAGUUUCCACAGACUUCAAAAGGUUCUUGGCCCUGGGUGGCAGGUAGUCGCCUCCUCCUCAGAUCAGGGCCCUAGUCAGCAUCAGAAAAUCUGGAAUGUCAUGGGUGGGGAAUCCCGUGGCCUGGGCGGUGCACCUGCUAAUUGGGGGUUGUAGGUUUCCAGCUUUGCAGCUGGAGGGGGUGCUCAGUGGGGUCCUCUGAUAUUUUCUGAGCUGAGCCCCAUGCUGCUGUAUGACUGACUCCACGAGCAGAGGCCGCCCCCCAGAACUGGGCCUCCUCGUCACCAAGUAGUUAAGGAUGGAGACCCAAGCUGAGCUGCUCAGCCGUGAAUCCCCGUGACAGUGUGACCGACACCGGGAGGACCCACACCUCCACCGCGGGACGGCAUGACCAGGAGGGCUGCAGAGGAAAGAGAACGUAGACGUGUUACCUUCUUGGACUUCCUCUACAGCUCCCCCCGGGGCUCCCAGAAACUCCUGGAGCCCGGAGCAAGGGCUUGCAGAGUCGCAGCUGGAGCAGUGUUGGGAAUCACACCCAAGGCCUCCAGCCUGCUAGGGAAGCACCCUGCCCCUCAGCAGCAUCUUCCGUCCUUGUAGCUGUUAAUGAAGCGGACUGACCACCUUGACUGAAGCGUUAGAAAGAACCGAUGACUGGGAAGCUCGGAGAACCCCAGACAGAGGGCCCCACAGCCAGGGGGUGGACUCCGGUCACACCUCACAGCCGGCUCCAUCCGGGCCUGGCCCCCGUCGCGGUCUCCAGCGCCACGCAGCAGACCCUGGCCGCAUCCGGGGACCAUCACGGCGAGCUCCCUGGGGCUGGUCGCCCUCUUGGGGCCCCACUCCUGGCUCAGUCCCCAGGCCGAGUGUCGGACCGGCAGAACCGAGGUGGAGUGGCACCGUCAGCAGGAGCAGGUGAGGCCUCAGAAGGAGGCAGCGCUUUACUCCAGGGAUGCUCCCGACCUGGGUAGCCAAGAGAGAGAAUAUAGAAUUGAACAAAAGGAACCCGAGUGCAAAGCCAGCUUGGGCACCUUAAUGAGACCCAGGCCAAAGAGUAUUUUAAGGAGAGGUGGAGGGCUGAGGAAUGCAUUUCUGGUGGAGUCCAUUCCCCCCAGUGAGUCCAAUAGGAAGCGACCCAGCCUGUCACAGCGGCACGAGACAUUGCACCGUGCGGAGCUGCAGAGUGGUUGCCCACAGAAACCAUGCCAGACCCUGAAGUCCAACCAGAGUUAAUGCCAGAGAUUCGUGUGGUCAGACAGAUGUCCUCCUGUCUCUUGGUCUUGGAGAUAUGAGGCUGGAGUUGCAGGCAGCUGUCUUGCUACCAGUCUGGGAACGGGGCCAACACCGAAGAAAGUAGAAAUGAAGAAUGACCUGAUCCUGAGGACAUUUUUGAGACCCUGGAUCAAACUGUACCUGAAGCCGCUGAAUUUUUCUAUUAUGUAAGCCCACCAACCAAACAGAUGAAUAGUUUUUGUUUUUGUUUUGUACUUAAGGCAAUGUGAGUGAAUUUUCUGUCACUUACAGCUAUGCGUUCUAAUCGGUUCUCUUCCAUAUACCUGCAGAGUGCCAGCCUAGACCUAACUCCUUGGGACCGCCCACAAUGAAACCAUCAGAGGGCCUUCUCUCAGGUACCGGGGAUUGAACUGAGGCCCUUG